AAUAAUCUCAUUUUUCGUUUUUCCGUGUCCAAUGUUUGACCAUUCGUCUUAUUUAAAAAAUUUGUAAAAAACUUAAAAACUUAAAAAAAUUAGUCACGUAUAAAGUACUAUUCAUAUUUUAUCAUCUACUAACAAUAAAAAUAUUAAUCACAAAAAUAUUUUAAAUAAGAUGAAUGGUUAAAAGUUGGACACGGAAAAAC
rfam:Oryza brachyantha chromosome 3, whole genome shotgun sequence.